UACGUAGGUGGCAAGCGUUGUCCGGAUUUACUGGGCGUAAAGGGCGUGCAGGCGGUCUGUUAAGUCUAGGGUGAAAGCUCCCGGCUCAACUGGGAGAGGUCCUUGGAUACUGGCGGACUUGAGGGAGGCAGAGGAAAGUGGAAUUCCCGGUGUAGUGGUGAUAUGCGUAGAUAUCGGGAGGAACACCAGUGGCGAAGGCGGCGUUUCUGGGCCUUACCUGACGCUGAGACGCGAAAGCGUGGGGAGCGAACCGGAUUGAGAAACCCU
rnacentral:rRNA from 1 species